UUUCUAUAUGCUUAGUUCUAGAAUGCAAAACGGGAUUCUUGGAUAGGUUUAUGGCACUUGUAUUAUCGCAUUUAAUAGGGAUCUUUUCAAGUUUAAGACCAUAGUCCUUGAGUUGUUGCUUCAUCCAAAGGAUUUGACGCAACACACACCAGCGGCAAUGUAUUCCGCUUCGGCGGUGUACAAAGCAACACAGACUUGCUUUUUGUUGUGCCAUGCUACUAAUGGACUGCCCAACAAGUGACAAGUACCACUAGUGCUUUUCCGAUCCAAUUUACAUCCGGCGAAAUCGGAAUCGGAAUAACCUACCAAGGAUAGUGAGGCAUCCCGAGGAUACCAUAAUCCCAUGUUAGUUUUUCCUUUUAAAUAUCUCAUGAUUCUUUUAACAGUUUUAAGAUGUGAUUCUCUAGGUGAUGAUUGAAAUCUCGCACACAUACAUACACUAAACAUGAUAUCAGGUCGACUUGCAGUUAAGUAAAGUAAUGACCAAAUUAUUCCUCGAUACUUUGUAGCAAGCAGAUGUCAUAGGAGUGGAAGCUUCCUUACAAUUGUCCAUUUCAAAUUUCUUGAGCAGCUCUUUGCAAUAUUUUGCCUGAUGGAUGAAUAUCCCACUUUCUAGUUGUUUUAUCUGAAGUCCUAGAAAGAAUAUGAGUUCUCCCAUCAUAGACAUUUCGAACUCUCCCUGCAUCAUCUCAGAAAAUUCUUUACACAAAAAAUCAUUAGUAGAUCCAAAUAUUAU